GGCAUGAUAGGAGAAGUAGGGAUCGAGAGAGGGAUUUGAAGAGGGAAAAGGAAAGGGAACUCGAAAGGUAUGAGAGAGAACGUGAACAAGAACGAGCCAAGAGAGAGAAGGAGAGAGAUUACAAGAUCCGCGAAGAUGAGCGUAGGUACAAGGUCCGUGAAAAGGAGUGGGAAUCUAAAGAAAGGGAGAGGGAAUAUUGGCGGAAAAAAGAGAGAGAAAGGGAGAAAGA
rnacentral:lncRNA from 1 species